AGUGAGCGCUGGCGGUAGGCCUAACACAUGCAAGUCGAACGGCAGCACAGUAAGAGCUUGCUCUUACGGGUGGCGAGUGGCGGACGGGUGAGGAAUACAUCGGGAUCUACUUUUUCGUGGGGGAUAACGUAGGGAAACUUACGCUAAUACCGCAUACGACCUACGGGUGAAAGCAGGGGAUCUUCGGACCUUGCGCGAUUGAAUGAGCCGAUGUCGGAUUAGCUAGUUGGCGGGGUAAAGGCCCACCAAGGCGACGAUCCGUAGCUGGUCUGAGAGGAUGGUCGGCCACACUGGAACUGAGACACGGUCAAGACUCCUACGGGAGGCAGCAGUGGGGAAUAUUGGACAAUGGGCGCAAGCCUGAUCCAGCCAUACCGCGUGGGUGAAGAAGGCCUUCGGGUUGUAAAGCCCUUUUGUUGGGAAAGAAAAGCAGCAGGUUAAUACCCCGCUGUUCUGACGGUACCCAAAGAAUAAGCACCGGCUAACUUCGUG
rnacentral:rRNA from 1 species